rnacentral:rRNA from 1 species
UGGGGAAUAUUGCACAAUGGAGGGAACUCUGAUGCAGCGACGCCGCGUGAACGAAGAAGGCUUUCGAGUCGUAUAGUUCUUUUAUAUGGGAAGAUAAUGACGGUACCAUAAGAAAAAGCCCCGGCUAACUACGUGCCAGCAGCCGCGGUAAUACGUAGGGGGCUAGCGUUGUCCGGAAUCACUGGGCGUAAAGGGUUCGCAGGCGGAAAUGCAAGUCAGGUGUAUAAGGCAGUAGCUUAACUACUGUAAGCAUUUGAAACUGCAUAUCUUGAGAAGAGUAGAGGUAAGUGGAAUUUUUAGUGUAGCGGUGAAAUGCGUAGAUAUUAAAAAGAAUACCGGUGGCGAAGGCGGCUUACUGGGCUCAUUCUGACGCUGAGGAACGAAAGCGUGGGUAGCAAACAGG